ACGUGAAACUGCCUAGGGCUCAAGCCCGUUGAACUCGAUUAUCCGCGGCGGAGAUAUUCACCUGCGGUUGGCCCUCACCAGGUCCGCCGCAGGGCACUUACCUCCUGCCUCACGAGGACGUUGCGAUCCAUUACGAAACGGUUAGCCAGCAAUGGCUACAGGCCCGGCACCUGCCCCUUGGCAUCUGGUUGCUUGUCCCACAGUAGCGGCGCUCAGUUCGGAAGGCCUGCGCCGCAACCUGGGGCUUACCGGUGCGUGGUGUGCAGCCGGGCGCGUGAUGGAUUCCCGCGU
rnacentral:rRNA from 1 species